rnacentral:rRNA from 1 species
CGUGAGUGAUGAAGGCUUUCGGGUCGUAAAACUCUGUCAAGUGGGAAGAAACUAAAAGGUGCCAAUAAUGCCUUUUAUUGACGGUACCACUGAAGGAAGCACCGGCUAACUCCGUGCCAGCAGCCGCGGUAAUACGGGGGGUGCAAGCGUUAUUCGGAAUCAUUGGGCGUAAAGGGCGCGUAGGCGGCUUUUUAAGUCAGAUGUGAAAGCCCGGGGCUUAACCCCGGAAGUGCAUUUGAAACUAAGGAGCUUGAGUAUGGGAGAGGGAAGUGGAAUUCCUGGUGUAGAGGUGAAAUUCGUAGAUAUCAGGAGGAACACCGGUGGCGAAGGCGACUUCCUGGACCAAUACUGACGCUGAGGCGCGAAGGCGUGGGGAGCAAACAGGAUUAGAUACCCUGGUAGUCCACGCAGUAAACGGUGAACACUAGGUGUAGCGGGUAUUGACCCCUGCUGUGCCGCAGUU